UGCCACCUGUCAAUGAUUUUAGAAGACAGGAUGAUUUAAAUGGUUUUACUGUCAACUCCAGACGUGGUCAGGAAGAUCUGAUCACAAUGCUUCUUUUAAAUCGUCUACACCUGUCUGAAAAUGUGGGAACAAUCAGACUGUGGACAAGAUCAGGACAUAUAAUGCAUGUUAGAACCAGGUAUAAACGGGGCUAAAUAGAGGUAAGAAGGGCUCAAAGAAAGGGUGUGAUGUGUGAGUAUGUGAGUGAGAUAGCAGGUGUUGCGCAUAUGUGUGAGUGUGUGAAACAGAAGAGGUGUGUGGGAAAGGUGGAAGGGGAGGUAAGGGUAGGCCAUGGUGAAGAGGUGUGUGUGUGGGAAUGGUGGAGGGGGAGGUAAGGGUAGGCCAUG
ensembl:lncRNA